rnacentral:rRNA from 1 species
UACAGAGGGGGCAAGCGUUGAUCGGAAUUACUGGGCGUAAAGGGCGCGUAGGCGGCCUGCUAAGUCGAACGUGAAAUCCCUGGGCUCAACCCAGGAACUGCGUCCGAUACUGGUUGGCUUGAAUCCGGGAGAGGGAUGCGGAAUUCCAGGUGUAGCGGUGAAAUGCGUAGAUAUCUGGAGGAACACCGAUGGCGAAGGCGGCAUCCUGGGCCGGCAUUGACGCUGAGGCGCGAAAGCUAGGGUAGCAAACAGG